UCGACCUCAAAUCAGGUAGGACUACCCGCUGAACUUAAGCAUAUCAAUAA
rnacentral:rRNA from 6 species